CCUACGGGAGGCAGCAGUGAGGAAUAUUGGUCAAUGGACGCAAGUCUGAACCAGCCAUGCCGCGUGCAGGAAGACGGCUCUAUGAGUUGUAAACUGCUUUUGUACGAGGGUAAACGCAGAUACGCGUAUCUGUCUGAAAGUAUCGUACGAAUAAGGAUCGGCAAACCCCGGCCCAGCAGCCGCGGUAAUAUGGAGGAUUCAAGCGUUAUCCGGAUUUAUUGGGGUAAAGGGGUGCGAAGGGGGAGGUGAAAGUCAGCGGUCAAAUUGCGGGGCGCAACCCCGUACUGCCGUUGAAACUGCAUCCCUGGAGUGCGCGAGAAGUAUGCGGAAUGCGUGGUGUAGCGGUGAAAUGCAUAGAUAUCACGCAGAACACCGAUUGCGAAGGCAGCAUACCGGCGCGCAACUGACGCUCAUGCACGAAAGCGUGGGUAUCGAACAGGAUUAGAUACACCUGUAGUC
rnacentral:rRNA from 1 species